UGGGGAAUAUUGCACAAUGGGCGCAAGCCUGAUGCAGCAACGCCGCGUGAGGGAUGACGGCCUUCGGGUUGUAAAACCUCUUUUAGUAGGGAAGAAGCGAAAGUGACGGUACCUGCAGAAAAAGCACCGGCUAACUACGUGCCAGCAGCCGCGGUAAUACGUAGGGUGCGAGCGUUGUCCGGAAUUAUUGGGCGUAAAGAGCUCGUAGGCGGUCUGUCGCGUCUGCUGUGAAAACCCCGAGGCUCAACCUCGGGCCUGCAGUGGGUACGGGCAGACUAGAGUGCGGUAGGGGAGAAUGGAAUUCCUGGUGUAGCGGUGGAAUGCGCAGAUAUCAGGAGGAACACCGAUGGCGAAGGCAGUUCUCUGGGCCGUAACUGACGCUGAGGAGCGAAAGCGUGGGGAGCGAACAGGAUUAGAUACCCUGGGUAGUCCACGCCGUAAACGUUGGGCGCUAGAUGUGGGGACCAUUCCACGGUUUCCGUGUCGCAGCUAACGCAUUAAGCGCCCCGCCUGGGGAGUACGGCCGCAAGGCUAAAA
rnacentral:rRNA from 1 species